GAACUUUCAAAAUUGAAUCGAGCCGACACAGCAAAACGAACGAAGACCCAACAACAACGAAACUGAGUAUACGCCUUGACUGGACGACUAAACCUCGAUCGGAACUUCAAACCAUACAAUUGAACCAACUCCUCUGGCAAAACCGAUACCGUCGAGAGUUUACCCCGUCGUUAUCAGAUUACCCAGAAAAUCAAGUUUGUUCAC
rnacentral:misc_RNA from 1 species